rnacentral:rRNA from 1 species
CCUACGGGUGGCAGCAGUGAGGAAUAUUGGUCAAUGGCCGGAAGCCUGAACCAGCCAAGCCGCGUGAAGGACGAAUGUGCCAAGCAUUGUAAACUUCUUUUGUCAAGGGACAAAAUCAGGCUCGAGAGCCUGACCGAGGGUACUUUAAGAAAAAGCAUCGGCUAACUCCGUGCCAGCAGCCGCGGUAAUACGGAGGAUGCGAGCGUUAUCCGGAUUUAUUGGGUUUAAAGGGUGCGUAGGGGGACUGUUAAGUCAGCGGUAAAAGCCCGGGGCUCAACCCAGGCGAGCCGUUGAAACUGGCUGUCUUGAGAUGUCGAGAGGUAUGCGGAAUGCGCAGUGUAGCGGUGAAAUGCUUAGAUAUUGCGAAGAACUCCGAUUGCGAAGGCAGCAUACCGGCGGCGAUCUGACGCUGAGGCACGAAAGCGUGGGUAUCGAACAGGAUUAGAUACCCUUGUAGUC